UGGGCGCAAGCCUGAUCCAGCCAUGCCGCGUGAGUGAUGAAGGCCCUAGGGUUGUAAAGCUCUUUCGCCAGGGACGAUAAUGACGGUACCUGGAUAAGAAGCCCCGGCUAACUUCGUGCCGGCAGCCGCGGUCAUACGAAGGGGGCUAGCGUUGUUCGGAAUCACUGGGCGUAAAGCGCACGUAGGCGGAUCUUUAAGUCAGGGGUGAAAUCCCGAGGCUCAACCUCGGAACUGCCUUUGAUACUGGAGGUCUCGAGUCCGGGGGAGGUGAGUGGAACUGCGAGUGUAGAGGUGAAAUUCGUAGAUAUUCGCAAGAACACCAGUGGCGAAGGCGGCUCACUGGCCCGGUACUGACGCUGAGGUGCGAAGGCGUGGGGAGCAAACAGGAUUAGAUACCCGGGUAGUCCACGCCGUAAACGAUGGAUGCUAGCCGUUGGGCAGCUUGCUGUCCAGUGGCGCAGCUAACGCUUUAAGCAUCCCGCCUGGGGAGUACGGUCGCAAGAUUAA
rnacentral:rRNA from 1 species